rnacentral:rRNA from 1 species
ACAAGCGGUGGAGCAUGUGGUUCAAUUCGACGCAACGCGAAGAACCUUACCCAGGCUUGAACAGCGAGUGACCAUUCCCGAAAGGGAACUUCCGCAAGGACACUCGUAGAGGUGCUGCAUGGCUGUCGUCAGCUCGUGUCGUGAGAUGUUGGGUUAAGUCCCGCAACGAGCGCAACCCUUGUUUGCUGUUGCCAUCAGGUUAUGCUGGGCACUCUGCAAAGACUGCCGGUGAUAAACCGGAGGAAGGUGGGGAUGACGUCAAGUCAGCAUGGCCUUUAUGUCUGGGGCUACACACGUGCUACAAUGGCCGAUACAAACCGUCGCGAGCCCGCAAGGGGGAGCUAAUCGGAGAAAGUCGGUCUCAGUUCGGAUCGUAGGCUGCAACUCGCCUGCGUGAAGUUGGAAUCGCUAGUAAUCGCGGAUCAGCACGCCGCGGUGAAUACGUUCCCGGGCCUUGUACACACCGCCCGUCACAUCACGAAAGCUGGCUGUACUAGAAGUAGCUGCGCUAACCCGCAAGGGAAGCAGGUUCCUAAGGUAUGGUCAGUGAUUGGGGUG